rnacentral:misc_RNA from 1 species
GAUGAAGAACGUAGCGAAAUGCGAUAAGUAAUGUGAAUUGCAGAAUUCAGUGAAUCAUCGAAUCUUUGAACGCACAUUGCGCCCGCCAGUAUUCUGGCGGGCAUGCCUGUUCGAGCGUCAUUUCAACCCUCAAGCCCAGCUUGGUGUUGGGGAUCGGCACAGGCGCCCUCGGGCGCCCGCCGUCCCCUAAAUCUAGUGGCGGUCCCGCUGCAGCCUCCUCUGCGUAGUAGUUUUCUCCUCGCAAGUGCAGCUCGGUGGCGACCUCGCCGUAAAACCCCCAACUUCUGAAAGGUUGACCUCGAAUCAGGUAGGAAUACCCGCUGAACUUAAGCAUAUCAAUAAGCGGAGGA